rnacentral:lncRNA from 1 species
GGAUUGCAGCAGGCUCGGUCUAAGAUAAAACCAGACGGUGGACAACAGGCCAGGUAAGACCCACAUGGUCUGCACUCCCUGGUUCUGUUAUUGUGUGGAGGAAUGUCUUAGUCUGUUGCUCCUGUGGGUGUAGCUAAAGCACAAACCAGGAGUCCUCAUCCUUAGAAAGCAGUUAGACAGACAUCUGAGAACCAAUCCCAAACUGCAGCCUUCCACAGAACCUUCUGGAACCUUCUGGAAUGCAACUUAUUACUGCCAGAGGGUCUUUGAUGAGAGUCUACUCUCCACCAUUUGUCUUCAGAGAGAAUACCCACCUAUUCUCUUUCCGUGGAAAGGUUUUUGCUUGUCUGAUGACUGAUGGCUCCACCCAGACCUGCCAACCACUCCCGCGGCCCCAUC